UACGGAGGAGGCAAGCGUUAUCCGGAAUUAUUGGGCGUAAAGCGUCCGUAGGUGGCUAGUCAAGUCUGCGGUCAAAGACUGGGGCUUAACCCUGGAAAGGCCGUGGAAACUGACGAGCUAGAGUGCAGUAGGGGUAGAGGGAAUUCCCGGUGUAGCGGUGAAAUGCGUAGAUAUCAGGAGGAACACCGGUGGCGAAGGCGGCUUUCUGGACAGUAACUGACACUGAGGCGCGAAAGCUAGGGGAGCAAACAGG
rnacentral:rRNA from 1 species